rnacentral:rRNA from 1 species
UACGAAGGGGGCUAGCGUUGUUCGGAAUUACUGGGCGUAAAGCGCACGUAGGCGGAUCGAUCAGUCAGGGGUGAAAUCCCAGGGCUCAACCCUGGAACUGCCUUUGAUACUGUCGAUCUGGAGUAUGGAAGAGGUGAGUGGAAUUCCGAGUGUAGAGGUGAAAUUCGUAGAUAUUCGGAGGAACACCAGUGGCGAAGGCGGCUGCCUGGGCCUGGCCUGACGCUGAGGCGCGAAAGCGUGGGGAGCGAGCCGG